GCAUUGGUGGUUCAGUGGUAGAAUUCUCACCUGCCAUGCGGGAGGUCCAGGUGCUAUUCCUGGCCAAUGCA
rfam:Danio rerio chromosome 4, GRCz11 reference primary assembly.